rnacentral:lncRNA from 1 species
UGAUUAUAGAAAAGCUAAAACCAACAGUGCGAUAGCUGAAUUCCUCUCAUUUCUAUUAAUAGCUGGUGAAUUUUACCAACAACUAUUUGCUCAAGUAAUGGAAGCAGAGAGCCAUAAGAAAAGUUUACAAGCAUUGGGUUGCAUUUGAAGAUCUCAGCAAAAAUAUAAAUGUAUCCUCCCAGUGACAUAUAAAUAACCCAGAGUUCCCUCAUGCUCAGUCUCAAGGAAAUAACUGGCACACUCUAGUGAUCCGAACUUUCCCAAAGGCUACAAGAAUGAGCUAACACACUCCAAGACUGUGACAUUUUUUCUACGUACAGAAUUCUCACCCUCAGGCAGGAAGAACAGCCCCAAGAAUUCCAGGUUGCCAACAGUUUAUUAAUCAAGUGAAAGCAAACUCAAAAUUUUCUCAGAA